rnacentral:rRNA from 1 species
AUUGAACGCUGGCGGCAUGCUUUACACAUGCAAGUCGAACGGUAACAGGGAGCUUGCUCCGCUGACGAGUGGCGAACGGGUGAGUAAUGCAUCGGAACAUGCCCAGUCAUGGGGGAUAACUACGCGAAAGCGUAGCUAAUACCGCAUACGCCCUGAGGGGGGAAAGUGGGGGGAUCUUAGGACCUCACGUGAUUGGAGUGGCCGAUGUCAGAUUAGCUAGUUGGUGAGGUAAAGGCUCACCAAGGCGACGAUCUGUAGCGGGUCUGAGAGGAUGAUCCGCCACACUGGGACUGAGACACGGCCCAGACUCCUACGGGAGGCAGCAGUGGGGAAUUUUGGACAAUGGGCGCAAGCCUGAUCCAGCCAUGCCGCGUGAGUGAAGAAGGCCUCGG